CCAGUAACGGCGAGUGAAGCGGCAAGAGCUCAAAUUUGAAAGCUGGCUCCUUCGGGGUCCGCAUUGUAAUUUGCAGAGGAUGCUUCGGGAGCGGUCCCCAUCUAAGUGCCCUGGAACGGGACGUCAUAGAGGGUGAGAAUCCCGUAUGGGAUGGGGUGUCCGCGCCCGUGUGAAGCUCCUUCGACGAGUCGAGUUGUUUGGGAAUGCAGCUCUAAAUGGGUGGUAAAUUUCAUCUAAAGCUAAAUAUUGGCCGGAGACCGAUAGCGCACAAGUAGAGUGAUCGAAAGAUGAAAAGCACUUUGAAAAGAGAGUUAAAAAGCACGUGAAAUUGUUGAAAGGGAAGCGCUUGCGACCAGACUCGCUCGCGGGGUUCAGCCGGCAUUCGUGCCGGUGUAUUUCCCCGCGGGCGGGCCAGCGUCGGUUUGGGCGGUCGGUCAAAGGCCCUCGGAAGGUAACGCCCCUAGGGGCGUCUUAUAGCCGAGGGUGCAAUGCGACCUGCCUAGACCGAGGAACGCGCUUCGGCUCGGACGCUGGCAUAAUGGUCGUAAGCGACCCGUCUUGAAACACGGACCAAGGAGUCUAACAUCUACGCGAGUGUUCGGGUGUCAAACCCGUGCGCGAAGUGAAAGCGAACGGAGGUGGGAACCCUUACGGGUGCACCAUCGACCGAUCCUGAAGUCUUCGGAUGGAUUUGAGUAAGAGCGUAGCUGUUGGGACCCGAAAGAUGGUGAACUAUGCCUGAAUAGGGCGAAGCCAGAGGAAACUCUGGUGGAGGCUCGUAGCGGUUCUGACGUGCAAAUCGAUCGUCGAAUUUGGGUAUAGG
rnacentral:rRNA from 1 species